UUUACUGACCACAUUUCCCUGUCUUUGUUUUUUUUUAGUCAUGCAAAGAACAAGUGAACGUUUGAGAAACAACGGAUAUUAUGACAUGUAUGGAAACCCGGUUAUUUCAUACAGAGAGACGCCAGUCAGGUAUAUUAAAUCAGCAAUUUUUUUAACUCUUAUGUUUCAUGCAGUCAUCUGCUGAUCAAUGUAUAUCUUAACUCACUUGUAUAUUUUCCAUCUAGGGCUAGAAAGAGGCGCCCUGCAAAUAGGGAAGUAACAUUUAGAGGAAGGAUUGAUAGUCGUGAAAACUACCUGACUGACCAAGAAAUACAGAUGAUAGACACUCUGAUGAAUCUGAUGCAGUUUGGUUUUAACAUCUUUGUCUUUGUCUUUCUCAUGUUCGUUGCUUUUGGUUUAUCAGCUUGUUUUAAGAGGAUUAUUUCCCUGCAAUCACAACCUUCAGAGUUAUCUGCCACACCAACUCUAAUAGACAUGGUUGCAAUCUCUGGAUGUAAGGAUGAGGGACAUCCCUCCAGGCUGCAGUUGUUGGAGAGAAAGCUUGACUACCUUCUACCACAAGCAGAUCUGUGGGCCAACUUUGCCCUGGAGUCUCAAGGAGCAAUGAUUUUACACAAGGCAAGCUCAACUACGUAUCAGAGCCAUAGAGCGUGCGGAUUGUUUGGGACUUCUUUCAGGCUACCUCCUAUUAGCCCAAACAUUGUUAUUAAGGGAAGAACUACUUUGGAUCCAGGACAAUGCUGGGCCUUUGCAGAUUUCCCGGGACGUUUAUCCAUAGCACUGUCCCACAAAGCCACCGUCACCCAUGUGUCCCUGGGUCAUAUUCCCAAAAUUGUUUCCCCAACUUCCUCAAUCUCUAGUGCUCCUAGAGAAUUUUCUGUCUAUGGAAAGAAGAAUUUAGAAGACGGGGAAACUCAUUUGGGAACUUUCUUGUAUGAUGAAGAUGGCGACCAAAUACAGACCUUCAAACUUCCUGCCAAUAAAGUUGAUUCCUUCAGAUAUGUAAAUCUACAGGUGAACAGCAACUGGGGCAAUCUGGACUACACCUGCCUUUACAACUUCAGAGUACACGGUGUACUUGCAAAAUGAAGAGGACAAAAAGGAGAAGAUGGAUAAAAGAUAUGAAAGGGAAUUUUUUUUUUCCAUACACAUAUACAUAAAGGCCCUCAGACAUGUACAAAAGGAACCAAUUGCUUAUAUGUUUUACAGGAGUGAUGUAUAUUGUCAUCAUUCAUUUAUAUUAUUAUAGUCUAGACUUUGUUCUAAUGGAUUGGGAAUGAGGGCUGCACAAUGGCGCAGCACUGCUGCUUUGCAGAAAAGAGGUUCAGACAUAAUAAAAGUGGCUUGCGUGGGUUCUCUCCGGGUACUCCGGCUUCCUCCUACAGAAAUAAUAAAAGUGGCUUGCGUGGGUUCUCUCCGGGUACUCCGGCUUCCUCCUACAGAAAUAAUAAAAGUGGCUUGCAUGGGUUCUCUCCGGGUACUCCGGCUUCCUCCUACAGUAAAAACGUGACUGCUAGGUUAAUUGGUCUGUCCAAAAUCUCCUUAGGUGUGAGUAUGUGUUGCAUGGUUGAUUGUCCUGUCUCUCUCUACAUAGAGCAGGAUUCAUUAACACAUCUUUGAAAAUAAUUCUUAUUUUCUUAACCUCCUCCCAAAAAGCCCUGGUUUUGUUGCAUUGCCAUAAGCAAUGUAAUAUUGCCCCUUUCUCCUCCAUGCAUACACAAAUCUAGAAUGAUGGGGUUAAAUUAUUCAGUUUUACAGGAGUGAUGUAUAUUCUCAUCGUCCAUUUAUACUGUAAUAGUCUAGACUUUGUUCUAAUGGAUUGGGAAUGAGGGCUGCACAAUGGCGCAGUUGGCAGCACUGUUGCCUUGCAGAAAAGAGGUUCAGACAUAAUAAAAGUUUCAUGCGUGGGUUCUCUCCGGGUGCUCCGGCUUCCUCCCACAGUAAGAACAUGACUGUUAGGUUAAUUGGCGCUGCAUGGUUGAUUUACAUAAACUGUUGUUACAUUCAACAUACACUGUCUGAGAACAUUAACAUAUUCAAACAUAAACUCUGAAAACAGUACAUGUUUAUUUCUUAAUAAACAUUUUAAAAUUUUUGUCCAGGAUAUGGGAACACAGCAACAUCACUUUGUAGAUAAUGGUGAACUAACACAAUUCUUUAAGUUCUUUCACAGGUACUGAAGUUUAACUUUUUGUUACAUGUUAUUCGUUCAGGACUGACUCCAGUGAGAGGUAGUUUACUGCUACAGGCUCAGACUGCAACAGUCUUGGCACUAUUUUCUGUCAAUAUCUAUCUUAUAGACUGAGCACUACUUUCAUAGAUCUCCCUUUUUUAACAUGUGUAACGUAAACUAAUAUUGUAACUAAUUCUGUCUUUCUUCUUUCACAGGGUUGCUGACAGUUUUGUGUUUGUGUGUGAAUUUUUAUUUUUUUUAUUAUUUUUGCCCUCUUGAAGCCAGCCAGCUUCGGCAGAUGGCUGCUCAUCCUGAGCCUGGUUCUGCUGGAGGUGUCUUCCUUUUAAAGGGAGUUUUCCUCUCCACUGUUGCCUUGUGCUUGCUCAGGAUGGGGGAUCCCUUGGAUUAAACAUCCAUCGCGAUCUGCUGGUGACCCCUCCGCAGAAUCGCCACCUUAACGUGGUGGAGGGGUUUGAGUAUCCCUAUGACCCAGAUGGAGAUUUUGUCUUGGGGUUCAGCCAGUAGUGAGGCUUCCCAGGGCAGGCUGUCAUUAGGGAGGGAUCAGACUAAGAGCGAUUCAAGGUUUUUAAUGAAAGACUACCAGAGGGAUCAGGUAUUUCUAGGAGACAGACAGUUAUCCCAAGUCCGGUUUUGCAGGAAGUUUCUCCCUAUAAAAAGUACCAGAAUGCGAGGCACCUAAGGUCAGAUGGGGACUAAGACGACAUCAACAACAUAUCAGAGCCAUAAAGCAUGUAGAUUGUUUGGGACAUCUUUAAGGGGACUUUGGUCUAUUUGGCCCAGAGGCUUCCGUUCCACAUGGCCAACGUGUGAGCAGUGUGAGACAAGUGGAGAUUUGAGACAGACGCACGGGCGUGGAAGGUUGUGGCUCAGUACUUGGAGAGGAGCCGCUCACCCACACUUGAAGGAGGUACACACCUUGGAGCAGUUGUGUUCCCCUGAAGGAGCCAAUGGGUCCAAGCUUGAAGGAGAACUGCGCAUGACAGAGGGCCAGAAGGAGGCGUGCACAUGUCAGUUCAGCGGAUCUUGGGCAGAAAUGCUUGGGCUUCUGCUUACAUCCUCUUGACUUGUCUUUUAAAAAUAAAAGCCUCUAAAGUA